GCCCGCUUGGCUAAGUGGUAAAGCGUCGCACUUGUAGAGAAUCCUCAUAGCAAUGCGAAGAUCACUCGUUCGAUUCGGGUAGUGGGCA